UACGAAGGGGGCUAGCGUUGCUCGGAAUUACUGGGCGUAAAGGGCGCGUAGGCGGCCCGCUAAGUCGAACGUGAAAUCCCCGAGCUCAACUCGGGAACUGCGUCCGAUACUGGCGGGCUUGAAUCCGGGAGAGGGAUGCGGAAUUCCAGGUGUAGCGGUGAAAUGCGCAGAUAUCAGGAGGAACACCGGUGGCGAAGGCGGUUCUCUGGGCCUGUACUGACGCUGAGGAGCGAAAGCGUGGGGAGCGAACAGG
rnacentral:rRNA from 1 species